UACGGGGGGGGCAAGCGUUGUUCGGAAUUACUGGGCGUAAAGGGCUCGUAGGUGGCCAACUAAGUCGGACGUGAAAUCCCUCGGCUUAACCGGGGAACUGCAUCCGAUACUGGAUGGCUUGAGUUCGGGAGAGGGAUGCGGAAUUCCAGGUGUAGCGGUGAAAUGCGUAGAUAUCUGGAGGAACACCGGUGGCGAAGGCGGCAUCCUGGACCGACACCGACGCUGAGGAGCGAAAGCCAGGGGAGCAAACGGG
rnacentral:rRNA from 1 species